UCGUGCUAGACGGGGAGCUAGCGGUGCCCUGGACCCGCAAUCCGCUACAGCGGGGUUGAAUCCCUGCUUGAGGCCUUUGUCUGGUGGGACUGCUCGGGCUAAGCGGUGUUGAAAGCCGGGUCCUGCGCGGCGGAGUACUAUGAACCCCGUCAGGUCCGGGAGGAAGCAGCGGUAAAUAGCCAUUCCGGGUGCCGCAGGGUUACCUGGUUGGAGCUGGCUGGCUUGAGUAAGCUGUCAGGCAGGGUCGAGGGCAGGUGCACGG
rnacentral:SRP_RNA from 1 species